GCCACGCCUCCGGGAGAGAAUGGCCGACCCCUGACCGGGAAGCGUCUCCGCUCGGCUGCCAACACACCACCCAGCUGCUGCUAAUCUUUCCUCGCUUGGGCUGAGGUAUUUACCAGACGGCAGUCGACGCUGGAUUGUACUUGAAGCUUGGUGGAGAAGUACAGAGCGGAGAAAAGGGCUCGCUGGUUUUAUCACUCGGGAGGAGAAACACACACGGAAGGAGCACACACGGAUUUUCACUGAAGAGUAGUGAUUAGUGGUGGGCAGAUCGAUCCAAAUAUCGGUUAUAUCGAUACCAAGUUGGCAUCGGUAUCGAAUCAAUACUAGGCUGCUGUCUGCAGAGCACAAGUGGACAUCUCUGUCUUCGGCUGGACCUUUUACUGCGACUGUUUUAGAAACGAGCGCGUUUACGUCACAAACAGCAGGAGGAAAGUAUUUGCUGGACCAACGUCAGUGUUUUAA